AGUAGUUUGAUCAUGGCUCGAGGACGAACGCUGGCGGCGUGCCUAACACAUGCAAGUCGAACGGGGUUAUAAUGAAGGAUUCCUUCGGGAUGACGGAAUUAUAACUUAGUGGCGGACGGGUGAGUAACGCGUGAGUAACCUGCCUUUGAGAGGGGGAUAACGUUCUGAAAAGAACGCUAAUACCACAUAACAUAUUGUUGUCGCAUGGCAGUGAUAUCAAAGAUUUAUCGCUCAAAGAUGGACUCGCGUCCGAUUAGUUAGUUGGUGAGGUAACGGCUCACCAAGACCGCGAUCGGUAGCCGGACUGAGAGGUUGAACGGCCACAUUGGGACUGAGACACGGCCCAGACUCC
rnacentral:rRNA from 1 species